rnacentral:lncRNA from 1 species
GGCAGGGGAUGUAUGUGUACCAUAUUUAGAUGAAUGAUUUCUUUUUUAUUUUUGUAUGUUUGUGAGUUAAACUUGUCCAUGACUUGUGCACUUUUGAAUGACAAAGUAUAUUUGUUGUACAAAGUAUUCUAUUAUAUAUAUAUGUAUAUAUAUAUUAAUGUAUAUACAUGUACAUAUAUAUAUAUAUAUAUAUAUAGUAAAAACUUUAGGUCCCGUGUGGCGAACCUCAAGGCUUUCGCCUAGGUGGGGCUAUCCUGAAAUGCCUUGCCUACGCCUUGCCCUUUUAAAACAUUGCUCGGAACUUACAAAUAUUCUUGACCCUGUUUUCUAUUUACCAAAAUCAUUGGAUUAAACCAGUCUGCAUAAAUUGAUUUGUGGUUGGUUUCUAUACUUUGUACCUAUGUUAUUACUUUCUACUGUUACUGUUAUCUUAUAGGGUGUUCUAUGUGCUUUUUAAUAUGUUGAUGUGAAUUUCUUUGACAUAGUAGGAAAUUUAUAUAUUGCCCUGUGUCUCAAAUUUUCUCCAUCCCCUUGUUUUUAGGUGUCCCAAAAUAGGUGCCCAUAUUCUAAGAGCAUUGCAUAAUUAUGUAAAGUGAGAUUAUAUUCACACACCCCAAAUUACUUCUCCCACACCCUUUUAAUUUUUUAAUAUUUUUUUAUCAAGUGUUAGUGGUGUGUAGAAAAUAUUAAAAAAUUAAAAGGGUGUGGGAGAAGUAAUUUGGGGUGUGUGAAUAUAAUCUCUCGUAAGUAAACUUCCAAAUUACUAUUAUUGAUUCAAAAGGGACCUACAAAAUCAAACUAAUAGAGGGUAGUUUUGGAAGAUUGUGAUUAUCAAUAAUGGCAGUAUGUUAUGUUUCAAGGUCCAUGUACCUUUGAUCUCAUCUAGUUCAUGUUGAAGAUUAUCAGUACUGAAAUUGCCAUGUGC